GGUGAACGCUGGCGGCGCGCCUUACGCAUGCAAGUCGUGCGGGGUGUGGGCUUCGGCCUGCACCCAGCGGCGGACGGCUGAGUAACACGUGGGUAACCUGCCCGGAAGUGGGGGAUAACCCGGGGAAACCCGGGCUAAUACCGCAUGUGCUCCAGGGGGGAAGCUCCCCUGGAGGAAAGCCCGCGAGGGCGCUUCCGGAGGGGCCCGCGGCCUAUCAGGUAGUUGGUGGGGUAACGGCCCACCAAGCCGACGACGGGUAGCUGGUCUGAGAGGACGG
rnacentral:rRNA from 1 species